UACGAAGGGUGCGAGCGUUAUUCGGAAUCACUGGGCGUAAAGGGUGCGUAGACGGUGUGUUAAGUUUGUCGUUAAAGACUCUAGCCUAACUGGAGGGUUGCGAUGAAAACUAGCAUGCUAGAGGAUGAGAGAGAGAAGUGGAAUUCCCGGAGUAGCGGUAAAAUGCGUGGAUCUCGGGAGGAACACCAAUGGCGAAGGCAGCUUCUUGGCUCAUUCCUGACGUUGAGGCACGAAAGCGUGGGGAGCGAACAGG
rnacentral:rRNA from 1 species